AUCUGGCUGGCUCAGUUGGUGGAACAUGUGACUCUUGAUCUCAGAGUUGUGGGUUUGAGCCCCACACUGGAUG
rnacentral:tRNA from 1 species